rnacentral:lncRNA from 1 species
UCGACCAACUCAAAUGUGGUUAUGAGAUUAUUCAAUCUAGUGGUCAUCACCACCAUCUGCUUCGUCUUGAUUUUCAUCUCCAUUAUCAUCGAGCAUUUGCUUCAUGUCUUAGCCAAGGUGAGCUACACUUCAAUUCCUCUCUUCUUAUUACACAGCAGCAUUAGUAUUUGCAUCACUAUAUGAGUCUGAUAAAUGAUCACCUCUUUUUUAUUAAUCAUCCUCCUCUUGGAUCUCUUUGCAGUAUUUCAACAAGAUAAGGAGGAAGUCACUCAUUCUCGCUCUUGACAAGAUCAAAAAAGUAAUUAACUAUGCGAUUAGCUAGAACUGAUCCAGAUUUCUAGCUAAUCCAGAUUUGAUGUAAUACGUUGUUUUGUUUUGCAAAUUUUUAGUUUAGAAAUCAUAAUAUAGUGAUUUUUGAACAUAAAGUAUAUUUUAACAUGAUUAUUGGGUCAGUUGCAGAUUACUGGGCGACAGUAACUCAAUUACUGAGGGUCAGUAAUCGAUUACUGAGCGUUAGUAAUCGAUUACUGGGCGUCAGUAACUCUAUUACUGGGGUCAGUAAUCGAUUACUGAGGGCCAGUAACUCGAGUUACUGGGGGUCAGUAAUUGUGUUACCCGGGGCCAAUAGCCUUUUAGGGAAUCAUUACUCAAUUACUAGGGGUCAGUAACCGAGUUUACAGUGACCGGAAUGCGGCGAUGGGAGAAAUAAGUUGAUUAUUGGGGGUCAGUAAUUAAGUUAUUGGGGGUCAAUAACUCGAUUAUUAGGGGUUAGUAACUUAAUAAGGUGAUUACUGGGGGUCAGUAACCCGAUUAUUGGGGGGCAGAAAUCCGACGACAAUGACCAGAGAAAGUCCGGCGACGGUGAUCAAAGAAAAUCCAGCGAUGAGAUUCCGGUGACCGGAGUCCCGCGACCGGUGACCGGAGGCUCCGGCAAAGUCUUCCCUCUUUUAUAUUUUUUCUCUCUCUGAGUGUAUAUAAGGGAUAAGGGUAAAAAUGUCUCAAAAAUAUUUUUUUAUUAUAAAUUUAAUAAAGAUUUGUGUAUUUGGGCACAAAUAAGAACAUCUUAUAUUGAAAUGGGCUCAUGUUUAUUAGAUUCAUUGAAAUGGGCAAUAAAUAAUUUAAAUUAGUACUAAAUGGACAUUUUCCUUUUCCUUUAUUCAUUCUCACAAAAAGGAAAACAUUUUUAUUCCAUAUCAAAUGAGAAAAUUGUAUGAAGAAUACAAUUUAUAUCUAUACUAAUCCAAAUAAUUAAGAAAAAAUAUUAUUCAUAAGGGCCAAAAAAGUUUAUAUAAA